rnacentral:tRNA from 1 species
GGGCGGAUGGCAGAGUGGUCAAUCGCACUUGGCUGUAAACCAAGCGCCCUGACGGGCUACGGGGGUUCAAAUCCCUCUCCGCCCA